GAUGAAGAACGCAGUGAAAUGCGAUAAGUAAUGUGAAUUGCAGAAUUCAGUGAAUCAUCGAAUCUUUGAACGCACAUUGCGCCCGUCAGUAUUCUGGCGGGCAUGCCUGUUCGAGCGUCAUUACGCCCCUCAAGUCCCCUGUGGACUUGGUGUUGAGGAUCGGCGAGGCUGGUUUUCCAGCACAGCCGUCCCUUAAAUUAAUUGGCGGUCUCGCCGUGGCCCUCCUCUGCGCAGUAGUAAAACACUCGCAACAGGAGCCCGGCGCGGUCCACUGCCGUAAAACCCCCCAACUUUUUAUAGUUGACCUCGAAUCAGGUAGGACUACCCGCUGAACUUAAGCAUAUCAAUAAGCGGAGGA
rnacentral:misc_RNA from 1 species